UGCGCAGGCGGGCUUGUAAGUCAGUGGUGAAAUACUGCCGCUUAACGGUAGAACUGCCAUUGAUACUGCGAGUCUUGAAUAUGGUUGAGGUAGGCGGAAUGUGUUGUGUAGCGGUGAAAUGCAUAGAUAUGACACAGAACGCCGAUUGCGAAGGCAGCUUACUAAGCCAUUAUUGACGCUGAGGCACGAAAGCGUGGGGAGCGAACAGGAUUAGAUACCCUGGUAGUCC
rnacentral:rRNA from 1 species